UCAGGAUGAACGCUAGCGACAGGCUUAACACAUGCAAGUCGAGGGGCAGACAUAAAAGUAGCAAUACGUUGGUGGCGACCGGCGCACGGGUGAGUAACGCGUAUGCAACCUACCUAUCAGAGGGGAAUAACCCGGCGAAAGUCGGACUAAUACCGCAUAAAACAGGGGCACCGCAUGGUGAUAUUUGUUAAAGAGAUUCGCUGAUAGAUGGGCAUGCGUUCCAUUAGGUAGUUGGUGAGGUAACGGCUCACCAAGCCGACGAUGGAUAGGGGAACUGAGAGGUUGGUCCCCCACACUGGUACUGAGACACGGACCAGACUCCUACGGGAGGCAGCAGUGAGGAAUAUUGGUCAAUGGGCGGGAGCCUGAACCAGCCAAGUCGCGUGAAGGAAGAAGGAUCUAUGGUUCGUAAACUUCUUUUGCAGGGGAAUAAAGUGCAGGACGUGUCCUGUCUUGUAUGUACCCUGAGAAUAAGGAUCGGCUAACUCCGUGCCAGCCGCCGC
rnacentral:rRNA from 1 species